UCACAUGACCCUCCCACUGAGGGACAGCUGUAGCAUCCAACCAGGAGACCAUUACAGCUGUCACUCAAAGCACAGGGAGGGGCUGUGAAGCAGCUCAGCACAGAGAGCACUUCAGAGUGAAGCCCCGCCUCC